rnacentral:rRNA from 1 species
UAGGGAAUCUUCCGCAAUGGACGAAAGUCUGACGGAGCAACGCCGCGUGAGUGAAGAAGGCUUUCGGUUCGUAAAACUCUGUUGUUAGGGAAGAAAAAAUGUAUAGUAACUAUAUACAAAAGAGACGGUACCUAACCAGAAAGCCACGGCUAACUACGUGCCAGCAGCCGCGGUAAUACGUAGGUGGCAAGCGUUGUCCGGAAUUAUUGGGCGUAAAGCGCGCGCAGGUGGUUUAGAAAGUCUGAUGUGAAAGCCCACGGCUCAACCGUGGAGGGUCAUUGGAAACUAAUAAACUUGAGUGCAGGAGAGAAAAGUGGAAUUCCUAGUGUAGCGGUGAAAUGCGUAGAGAUUAGGAGGAACACCGGUGGAGAAAGCGGCUUUUUGGCCUGCAACUGACACUGAGGCGCGAAAGCGUGGGGAGCAAACAGG